rnacentral:rRNA from 1 species
UUCCGGUUGAUCCUGCCGGAGGUCACUGCUAUCGAGGUCCGACUAAGCCAUGCGAGUCGAGAGGUUAGCCCUCGGCAUACUGCUCAGUAACACGUGGAUAACCUGCCCUCAAGACGGGGAUAACCCCGGGAAACUGGGGAUAAUACUCGAUAGGUUAUGGUUCCUGGAAUGGUCCAUAGCUCAAAGCGUUAGCGCUUGAGGAUGGGUCUGCGCCUGAUUAGGUUGUUGCCGGUGUAACGUACCGGCAAGCCGAUAAUCAGUACGGGCUGUGAAAGCAGGAGCCCGGAGAUGGAUUCUGAGACAUGAAUCCAGGCCCUACGGGGCGCAGCAGGCGCGAAACCUUCACACUGCGCGAAAGCGCGAUGAGGGGACCUCGAGUGUCGUGCCAAGCAUCGACUGUCCCGCUGCCUAAAAAGCAGUGGUUAGCAAGGGCCGGGCAAGACCGGUGCCAGCCGCCGCGGUAACACCGGCGGCUCGAGUGGUGACCACUUUUAUUGAGCUUAAAGGGUCCGUAGCCGGUCUGGUAACUCUCUUGGGAAAUCUGGCGGCUUAACCGUCAGGCGUCCGGGGAAACUGCCAGACUUGGGAGCGGGGGAGGCUGGAGGUACUCCAGGGGUAGAGGUGAAAUUCUGUAAUCCUUGGGGGACCACCAGUGGCGAAGGCGUCCAACCAAAACGCGUCCGACGGUGAGGGACGAAAGCCAGGGGCACGAACCGGAUUAGAUACCCCGGUAGUCCUGGCCGUAAACGCUGCACGCUAGGUGUUACGUCCUCUACGAGGGGGCGUAGUGCCGAAGAGAAGUUGAUAAGCGUGCCGCCUGGGAAGUAUUACCGCAAGGUAGAAACUUAAAGGAAUUGGCGGGGGAGCACCACAAGGGGUGGAGCCUGCGGUUUAAUUGGAUUCAACGCCGGA